rnacentral:rRNA from 1 species
UACGGAGGAUGCAAGCGUUAUCCGGAAUGAUUGGGCGUAAAGCGUCCGCAGGUGGUUAAGAAAGUCUGUUGUUAAAGCGUGAGGCUUAACCUCAUAAGGGCAAUGGAAACUGUUUGACUAGAGUACGUUCGGGGCAAGGGGAAUUCCCAGUGUAGCGGUGAAAUGCGUAGAGAUUGGGAAGAACACCGGUGGCGAAAGCGCCUUGCUAGGCCGUAACUGACACUGAGGGACGAAAGCUAGGGGAGCGAAUGGG